CAGCCGCCGCGGUAAUACGAAGGGGGCUAGCGUUGCUCGGAAUUACUGGGCGUAAAGGGAGCGUAGGCGGGUCGUUUAGUCAGAGGUGAAAUCCCGGGGCUCAACCUCGGAACUGCCUUUGAUACUGGCGACCUUGAGUAUGGGAGAGGUAAGUGGAACUCCGAGUGUAGAGGUGAAAUUCGUAGAUAUUCGGAAGAACACCAGUGGCGAAGGCGACUUACUGGCCCAUUACUGACGCUGAGGCUCGAAAACGUGGGGAGCAAACAGGAUUAGAUACCCCGGUAGUCCCUGUCUCUUAUAC
rnacentral:rRNA from 1 species